rnacentral:snoRNA from 1 species
UUUUUUUUUUUUUGAUGAUGAUUACACUCCAUGCUAAUCAUGAACGUGUUCGAUGUAAAUUUGAAUACGAUGAUUAAAAUUGUUGUUUACGCUUUCUGAAA